UUUCCUCUUUUCGACUAAACAGUAUGUGUACUGCCGUCGUAAGCACACCUCUAAAAGACUAAGUGUGCAACUAUGAUUAUUUCCAUAUACGUCAGGUCAAAGUGCAACCUAUAAAGAGGUGAUGAUGGGUUACACUCAACACAUAGACACGAAAUAUACAAUUAAAAACUAUAUAAAGGAGGACUUGGGUGUAAUUACUAAUUUUUAUAAUUUAAUGAAAAUGAAUCUAAGACAUGCACACAUCGCCCGUCACUCUCUCCCCAAGGAGGGAUAAGUCGUAACAAAGUAGGUGUAACGGAAGUUGCACCUGU
rnacentral:rRNA from 1 species